GCUGGCGUGGCUCAGUUGGUAGAGCAGUGCUUUCGUAAAGCACGGGUCGGUGGUUCGAAUCCACUCGCCAGCU
rnacentral:tRNA from 1 species